rnacentral:ncRNA from 1 species
GGGUUCAGAGAACAUUCUCUGGAGGAAAAAGGAAAUUGGUCGGGCCGCCAUC